rnacentral:lncRNA from 1 species
ACCUCCCGCGCAUGCUCUAUGGGGUAGAGACGCUAGGCCGGCACUGCCUAGGUGGGCCGGGCGGUGCGAGGGUCGCCUUUCAGCCUUUACCUCUACCCACUGAAAUGGAGUAGGUCGGUGAGCGCCGAUCUGCUGGAGAAUCUCAUUAUCCCAUCGGCGCUCUGCCUGCUCCUGGCCUCCAAGCCUCUGAAGCCCCUCGGGUUUCAGCUGCCGGCUACCCUCGAGCCCGUGGUGCCCACGAGAGAGGCGACUUUACGUCAGCGGCCCUGGGCUGAGAUUUGAGAACGCGACCAAGUGGAGAAUGUUGGAGCCAGAUUUUAAAAUCCUUGUCUUCCUUCUGCGUGCUACUUGAUCUAAAUGAGAUACGGCAAAGUCACAGAACCUGUUUUUAUGUUUUUGCCUGAUUCAUACGGGCUUCUCCGGUGAAGAUGGGCCUGAAGUAACGCUUGGGUUGCUUCUGACGUUAUAACUCAUCCUGUAGCUGCAGCAACCGUGGUCCUUGCAACCUCAUAAAAAUGUUGCCAGCAUUGUUUCGAUAGUGCUGCUUAAUUCUUGGAAGGUUCUUCGGACUUCACACAUUCCAGCAGUAGCUCUCUCAGCUCCUGUCCUGCACAGCUUUGAAGUGCUGGACACAGCCCUGGUGAUGGCUUUCUGAGGAUGACACGAUGGAGGCUUCUCCAAUAGCUCUAAAACUGCGGUGUGGAAAACAUUCGGCAGCCUCAAAGAGCGGUCUUGUUGACCCCAACUAUAUCAUUUUUCAUCAAAAUCAUUCUUGUAAAGAAUGACCAGGCAACACUCUUUGAAAAUUGGAGGCCAUUUGCAGCUGCUCUCUGUUGAGGAAAGUGAAUAAUAGGGUGCCCUCAAGGAAUUGCAAAGGGACACGCUGCGGAUGGCUUGAGAUUAGUAUCUGCGCAGGUGCCAUUCUCACAGUGUGUGCUGUGAGAAUGUCGCAGACGUGUGCUGCUACUCUGGCACUCACACUUGUCCAGGCUGUUUCUUAGUCCUAAGUUAGUGGCAUGAAAGCACUGCCCUGGAAGCGAUGGAGCAGCAAGUGCUCUACCCACAUGGAAGUCUUUGGGACCUGCACUUCAAUGAGCGCAGAGAGGAAAAGGAGAGAAGAACCAACACAACUGAAGCACCUACGAGCGUCAGGCACUGGCCCAGCUGCCAUGGACCCCCGAGUUGAAGGUCGUAUAACCUCAGCCUGCCCAAAUGAACCAAGCACACAACCACAGGGGGAACCCAAGAGUUCCAGUGGGAGAGCUGGAAGAGGAGGGACCAAUGUGAGAAGUGGACACCAUAUGGCAGGAUCCAGGAUCCAAUCAGACUGAGCCCUGGGGUCACCCCAUGGAAGGAUCCAGUUGGAUCAUGCCUCCUGGCAUCACCUACUGCAAGAUCCAAUCAGAUCACACCUCCUUACCCUAUGCUUAUAAAACCCCACCCAGCCCCCAGCCCGAAGAUACAGAUUUGAGUAUUUCCUCCUGUUUCCUUACCAGUCGAUUUGCAAUAAAGCUUUUUUUUUUUUCCU